UGGGGAAUUUUGGACAAUGGGCGCAAGCCUGAUCCAGCAAUGCCGCGUGCAGGAUGAAGGCCUUCGGGUUGUAAACUGCUUUUGUACGGAACGAAAAGGCUCUGGCUAAUACCUGGGGCACAUGACGGUACCGUAAGAAUAAGCACCGGCUAACUACGUGCCAGCAGCCGCGGUAAUACGUAGGGUGCGAGCGUUAAUCGGAAUUACUGGGCGUAAAGCGUGCGCAGGCGGUUUUGUAAGACAGAGGUGAAAUCCCCGGGCUCAACCUGGGAACUGCCUUUGUGACUGCAAGGCUGGAGUGCGGCAGAGGGGGAUGGAAUUCCGCGUGUAGCAGUGAAAUGCGUAGAUAUGCGGAGGAACACCGAUGGCGAAGGCAAUCCCCUGGGCCUGCACUGACGCUCAUGCACGAAAGCGUGGGGAGCAAACAGGAUUAGAUA
rnacentral:rRNA from 1 species